AACAUUUUUUAUUGUGGUAAAAUACACAUAAAAGCUACCAUUUUAACAAUUUUUAGUUGUACAGUUCAGUGGCAUUAAGUACAUUCACGGUUGUGUAACCAUCACCACCAUCCAUCACCAGAACGGUUUCAUCGUCCCAAACUGAAAUUCUGUACUCAUUAAACAGUAACUCACCACUCUCCCUUCCCACACCAUUCUACCUUCGUCUUGAGCCAACCUCUUUAAAUUUCUCAAAUAACUGGAAUCCUGCAGUCUUGACGCUUUGUGAGUCCACGAACUGUAGCCUGCCAGGCUCUUCUGGAGUGGGUAGCCAUUCCUUUCUCCAGGGGAACUUCCCAACCCAGGGAUCUGACUCAUGUCUCCUGCAUUGCAGGCAGAUUCUUUACCGUUCAGCCACCAGGGAAGCCCAUAAAAGACUAUAAAUUGGUUUCAAGCUAUCUAAACAAGGUCCAUGUAACAUGUGGCUGCUGUGUUUCUAAGCGUUUUUAGAUCCGAGCAAUUUGCUCCCCCCCUUUUUUAGACUCUACUGCUUUAUUGCAGAAUGAACUCAAUUCAUACAUGCAUGCAUUUAUCAACAACAAAAAUCCAUGCAUUUAAAAAGAACCACGCACUGUAUACUGAGGUUCUGAAAGCUGCUUCUAAUUUAGAAAUACUGGAAGUAGUUACAGAGACACAUUACUUAUAAGUUCAUAUGAACCUCAUAUGGUUACUCUUAGUUCCAGCUUUGUCAGAUCACCUCAUCACAAUUUAGCAAACCACAAUUUUGGUCUAGGUAGAUGCACCCAGUACAGCAGGGGGCAGGAUUACCUCCUCCUAGAAGCCAAGUGCUUAGGAAACCGCUUCUAACGUUAAUCAGAGAGAAUGGUUUUCAAGUUAAGUACAAAGAUAACUAAAAGAAAAAGUUUUUCUGAAUACAGAGAUAAGGUAAAUUCCCAGAGAAUGUGCUGCUGAGGAAACAUCUUAUUUAAAUAAAAGACUGUCGGUAUUCUGUUUGAAAGAGCAAUCAGACUGGGUUUAAAAGCGGGGCAGGAGUAUCAAAGUGGGUAGGAGAGAGGGUGGACGACUAAGGAAGGAGGGCGAAGAGCCGGAAAAAGAGUCGUCAGCUGCCAGAGAAGAGUGGAAACCUGCUUAGCAGGUCAUUUAACGAAAUGAACCAAGACGCAGGAGGAAUGUCCCCGUGGCGAGGGAAGUCGAGCGAGGGACGACAGCAGGAGACUUAACUCCGGAGUUUGGAAGGCCGUGCUGAAGCCGGUUUUUCCACGGACUGGAACAAUCCUGAACAAGGUACUGGGCGCGGACUCGGAAACAAGCCUCAGCUGCCAGCCUCCCCACGCCCAGGGAGUGACCAGCGAAACCCAGGGCGCGCCCCAGCAGGUGAUUCUGAAGGCGUGACGAGUCUGCGCUCUCCUUCCGUGCCUCCGCCGCGGGAAGUAGUCCCCGGCUGCGCCGGCUCCGUAGAAAUCUGGGCCGGGGAGCCCUGAGGCCCUCAGGACAUGAGUCCCAGGAGCGGCGGACGCGCAGCCAAUCCCUGGAAAGAAGGCGUGGCUAACUCGGUCCCGCGGAUCCCUCCGCCUGUGCUCGAUGUGCUGAGGCAGAGAAAGCCGCCAUUUUGGAUGCUGAGUCUUGGUUUCCAAGUGCGACUCUACCGUUUUCACGUCCGGAUUUGGCUAGGAGGAACAACACAGCAUGCUGGGCUCUGGAUUUAAAGCUGAGCGUUUACGAGUCAAUUUGAGAUUAGUCAUAAACCGUCUUAAACUGUUGGAGAAAAAAAAAACGGAAUUGGCCCAGAAAGCAAGGAAAGAGAUUGCUGACUAUCUGGCUGCUGGGAAGGAUGAACGAGCUCGAAUCCGAGUGGAGCACAUCAUUCGAGAAGACUACCUUGUGGAGGCCAUGGAGAUCCUGGAACUGUACUGUGACCUGCUGCUGGCUCGAUUUGGCCUCAUCCAGUCUAUGAAGUAAGCUGUUUUGUCCUUUUUUUCCCUUCAUUGGGGGUAUAGUUGAUUUUGGAAGAAAUUUCACGUAUUUAGUGUGUGUAGGUGUACAAUUUGAUGAAUUUGGGCAUAGGCAUAUAUAUACCUGUACACUUCAUCAUAGGUUAAAAAAGCAGUCGUCAUCUCCAAAAAUUUCCUUAUAUCCCUUUUUUUGAUAAGAACACAACAUAAGAUCUGCCUUAAAC